UACGAACUGUGCAAGCGUUGUUCGGAUUCACUGGGCUUAAAGGGUGCGUAGGCGGCUUGCCAAGUAGGGUGUGAAAGCCCCCGGCUUAACCGGGGAAUUGCGCCCUAAACUGGCGAGCUGGAGUGAGAUAGGGGUGUGUGGAACUUCCGGUGGAGCGGUGAAAUGUGUUGAUAUCGGAAGGAACGCCGGUGGCGAAAGCGACACACUGGGUUGCAACUGACGCUGAGGCACGAAAGCCAGGGGAGCGAACGGG
rnacentral:rRNA from 1 species